UCCACGCCGUAAACGAUGUCAACUAGUUGUUGGUUCCAAUUUAGGGAUUAGUGACGCAGCUAACGCAUUAAGUUGACCGCCUGGGGAGUACGGUCGCAAGAUUAAAACUCAAAGGAAUUGACGGGGGCCCGCACAAGCGGUGGAGCAUGUGGUUUAAUUCGAUGCAACGCGAAGAACCUUACCAGCUCUUGACAUCCAGCGGAACUUGUAGAGAUAUGAGCGUGCCUUCGGG
rnacentral:rRNA from 1 species